rnacentral:rRNA from 1 species
GACGAACGCUGGCGGCGUGCUUAACACAUGCAAGUCGAACGGUGAAGCGCCUUCCUUUUUGGUGGGUGUGGAUGAGUGGCGAACGGGUGAGUAACACGUGAGUAACCUGCCCCCUUCUUCUGGAUAACCGCAUGAAAGUGUGGCUAAUACGGGAUAUUCUGGGUCUGUCGCAUGAUGGGUCUGGGAAAGAUAUUGUUUCGGUGGGGGAUGGGCUCGCGGCCUAUCAGCUUGUUGGUGGGGUGAUGGCCUACCAAGGCGGUGACGGGUAGCCGGCCUGAGAGGGUGGACGGUCACACUGGGACUGCGACACGGCCCAGACUCCUACGGGAGGCAGCAGUGGGGAAUAUUGCACAAUGGGCGCAAGCCUGAUGCAGCGCCGCCGCGUGAGGGAUGGAGGCCUUCGGGUUGUGAACCUCUUUCGCCAGUGAAGCAGGCCUGCCUCGUUUGUGGGUGGGUUGACGGUAGCUGGAGAAGAAGCGCCGGCUAACUACGUG